rnacentral:misc_RNA from 1 species
CCAAUAGCGUAUAUUAAAGUUGUUGCAGUUAAAAAGCUCGUAGUUGAACUUCGGGGUCUACCCAUUGGUCAGGCUUAAUUGUCUGCACUGGUGAGAUGGAUCUCUACCUUCUGAGGAACUUUCAUGCCAUUUAUUUGGUGUGAUGGGAAAUCAGGACUGUUACUUUGAAAAAAUUAGAGUGUUUAAAGCAGACUAUCGUCUGAAUACAUGAGCAUGGAAUAAUGAAAUAGGACGGACUGAUUCUAUUUCGUUGGUUUCUAGGAUCACCGUAAUGAUUAAUAGGGAUAGUUGGGGGCAUUAGUAUUCAAUUGUCAGAGGUGAAAUUCUUGGAUUUAUUGAAGACUAACUACUGCGAAAGCAUUUGCCAAGGAUGUUUUCAUUAAUCAAGAACGAAAGUUAGGGGAUCGAAGACGAUCAGAUACCGUCGUAGUCUUAACCAUAAACUAUGCCGACUAGGGAUCGGACGAAGUUAAUUUUAUAAUGACGCGUUCGGCACCUUACG